rnacentral:rRNA from 1 species
CGCCUUGCCAGCCCGCUCAGAAACUCAAAGGAAUGGACGGGGGCCCGCACAAGCGGUGGAGUAUGUGGUUUAAUUCGAUGCAACGCGAAGAACCUUACCUGGUCUUGACAUCCCGGAGACCCUUAGGAAACUAGGGGGUGCUUCCAUCUGGAAGAAUCUGGAGACAGGUGCUGCAUGGCUGUCGUCAGCUCGUGUCGUGAGAUGUUGGGUUAAGUCCCGCAACGAGCGCAACCCUUGCCUUUAGUUGCCAGCAGUUCGGCUGGGCACUCUAAAGGGACUGCCGGUGUUAAACCGGAGGAAGGUGGGGAUGACGUCAAGUCCUCAUGGCCUUUAUGACCAGGGCUACACACGUACUACAAUGGCCGAUACAAAGGGCAGCGACACUGCGAGGUGAAGCCAAUCCCGUAAAAUCGGUCUCAGUCCGGAUUGGAGUCUGCAACUCGACUCCAUGAAGUUGGAAUCGCUAGUAAUCGUGGAUCAGCAUGCCACGGUGAAUACGUUCCCGGGCCUU